ACGGAUAUGACGAAAUAGGUAGACGUAUUAGAUUUAGGUCCUAAUGAUAUAAAUUGUUAAUCAUGAGGGUUCGAAUCCCUCUAUCCGUA
rnacentral:tRNA from 1 species